rnacentral:rRNA from 1 species
CCCUACGGGGCGCAGCAGGCGCGAAAACUUCACACUGUGCGAAAGCGCGAUGAGGGAAUCCCAAGUGUUUGCUCGUAAGAGUAAACUGUUUCUUUGUUUAAAACGCAGAGAGAGUAAGGGCUGGGUAAGACGGGUGCCAGCCGCCGCGGUAAUACCUGCAGCUCAAGUGGUGAUCAUUAUUAUUGGGCCUAAAACGUCCGUAGCCGGUUUAGUAAAUGCCUGGGUAAAUCGUGUAGCUUAACUAUACGACUUCCGGGUAGACUGCUAAACUUGAGACCGGGAGAGGCUAGAGGUACUCCUGGGGUAGAGGUGAAAUUCUGUAAUCCUAGGGGGACCACCAGUGGCGAAGGCGUCUAGCUAGAACGGGUCUGACGGUGAGGGACGAAGCCCUGGGGCACAAACCGGAUUAGAUACCCGGGUAGUCCAGGGUGUAAACGCUGCUUGCUUGAUGUUAGUUGGGCUCCGAGCCCAACUAGUGUCGGAGAGAAGUUGUUAAGCAAGCUGCCUGGGAAGUACGGUCGCAAGGCUGAAACUUAAAGGAAUUGGCGGGGGAGCAC